rnacentral:piRNA from 1 species
UGUGAGAGUGUAGAGAAUGUUGCUGC